AGAGUUUGAUCAUGGCUCAGGAUGAACGCUAGCGGGAGGCUUAACACAUGCAAGUCGAGGGGCAGCACGAUGUAGCAAUACAUUGGUGGCGACCGGCGCACGGGUGAGUAACGCGUAUGUAACCUACCCUGUACAGGGGGAUAGCCCGGAGAAAUUUGGAUUAAUACCCCAUAUNNUAUUUGAUGGCCUCAUCAGAUGAUUAAAGUUACAACGGUAAAAGAUGGGCAUGCGUCCUAUUAGCUAGAUGGAGUGGUAACGGCACCCCAUGGCGACGAUAGGUAGGGGUCCUGAGAGGGAGAUCCCCCACACUGGUACUGAGACACGGACCAGACUCCUACGGGAGGCAGCAGUGAGGAAUAUUGGACAAUGGUCGCAAGACUGAUCCAGCCAUGCCGCGUGCAGGAAGACGGCCCUAUGGGUUGUAAACUGCUUUUGUACGGGAAGAAUAAGGACUACGUGUAGUCUGAUGACGGUACCGUACGAAUAAGGAUCGGCUAACUCCGUGCCAGCAGCCGCGGUAAUACGGAGGAUCCAAGCGUUAUCCGGAAUCAUUGGGUUUAAAGGGUCCGUAGGCGGGCUGAUAAGUCAGGGGUGAAAGUUUGCCGCUCAACGGUAAAAUUGCCUUUGAUACUGUCAGUCUUGAAUAACUGUGAAGUGGUUAGAAUAUGUAGUGUAGCGGUGAAAUGCAUAGAUAUUACAUAGAAACCGAUUGCGAAGGCAGAUCACUAACAGUUCAUUGACGCUGAUGGACGAAAGCGUGGGGAGCGAACAGGAUUAGAUACCCUAGUAGUCC
rnacentral:rRNA from 1 species